rnacentral:ncRNA from 1 species
UUCUUAUCAAGAGUAGGUGGAGGGACCAGCCCGAUGAUACCCGGCAACCGACUGAAAAGCACGGUGCUAAUUCUUGCGGAAGCGAUUAUUCGUAAUCAAUUCUGAGAGAUGAGAG